rnacentral:rRNA from 1 species
GACGAACGCUGGCGGCGUGCUUAACACAUGCAAGUCGAACGAAGAGCGAUGGAAGCUUGCUUCUAUCAAUCUUAGUGGCGCACGGGUGAGUAACGCGUAAUCAACCUGCCCUUCAGAGGGGGACAACAGUUGGAAACGACUGCUAAUACCGCAUACGAUCUAACCUCGGCAUCGAGGAUAGAUGAAAGGUGGCCUCUACAUGUAAGCUAUCACUGAAGGAGGGGAUUGCGUCUGAUUAGCUAGUUGGAGGGGUAACGGCCCACCAAGGCGAUGAUCAGUAGCCGGUCUGAGAGGAUGAACGGCCACAUUGGGACUGAGACACGGCCCAGACUCCUACGGGAGGCAGCAGUGGGGAAUCUUCCGCAAUGGACGAAAGUCUGACGGAGCAACGCCGCGGGAGUGAUGACGGCCUUCGGGUUGUAAAGCUCUGUUAAUCGGGACGAAAGGCCUUCUUGCGAAUAGUGAGAAGGAUUGACGGUACCGGAAUAGAAAGCCACGGCUAACUACGUG